UCAAACAAAGCAUAAACAGAGGUUUCAGUCGACCAGACUUAAACGGAGAGAGAGAGAGAGAGAGAGAGAGAGAGAGAGAGAGAGAGAGAGAGAGAGAGAGAGAGAGAGACGAGGAACGAUCAACACCCAGCCCCCGCCACCGGAAGCGCCUCAACUCCACCGCCAGCGACCACCGACGCAACCCCUUUUGAAGAUUGCCUCCCCCAGGCGCAACCCUUCACCGACGCCAAACCCACCCACCGCCAAGACAUUGCCGCCAUUGAAAGGUGCUCACGGGGACCACGACAAAGAACCGCAAAAGGGAUGAAUUUGGUGUCCCCACUUGAUCAAAUUGUUGGGAUCUUCAAAUGGAUGAAAACUCCUUUCUAGUCUAUAUGUUGAGAUGAAGAAUUUACCUAGGGUUCUAGUAAGCUUCCAUAGAAAGCAUUUCUCUGUCUUCAUGGUUCAAGCUGUGUAAGAAACACAAGCACAAUUGGGCUCUACCGUACUUCAAUUGAAUUCAUUGGGUGUGAUGGAGCUAUUUUGUGGUGAUUCUGGACACCCUCUUUCUCUUUCUUGCACCUCUUUUCUGGUUUCUGUUGAGAGGAGUAGAGUUAUUUGGGAGGCUUGGUUGUGGUUGGUUGAUUUUAUGUUAGUUUAUAUUGUUUGCAAGAUGUUUAUAAUGAAUUAGGUGAUUAUCUUUGUUUCAAGUAUUUGGCUUUGGCUAGUUUGUACAAAAUUUAACUCAUUUGCUGGUCAUGCUUUGCAGCCCCUUCAAUAGGGGCCUAGGGUAACCUAUUGUGAUAAAUGUGUAUUUGGUUAAUAUGUAAGUUAUAAGUGCUAUUGAAAUAUGAGUGUGAGAUGUGUUUGGUUGGAAAAUACACUUUUGUUGGAUGUUAAAAUUGUCAUUCACAAUGCAUUGGUUGGAGCAUGUCCUUUUCCUUGAGAUAUUUCGAGGGAUUGGCACAAAUCCUUUCGGAUUAGUUGGAUGUUAUGUUUUGGUUAGUUUUGUCACUCACCCUUUUUGUUGACAUUUGAUUAAUUCAUUUUAGGGGACAAUCACUAAAUCUCUCUCCUUUGUGUUCAUUUUAUGGAACAUUCAUUUGGCAAGUUUUUUAUCCAAGUGAUCUAGAAUAUACUCUAGAAGGUUGUUUUAGGGAAAAAAAUAUCACUGAAAAUUGGUGGUGUUUUUAUGCCACAGGUGUUGCUUUAUCUAGAUUGAGGAGAACAGGAGCUGAUUAAAAGAGGAAAAAAAAAAGAAGA